CCAACCCCCCCUCUUCCCACAAUAAUUCAUUCAUUCAUGUUUUGAAUCAAAGAAACCCUAGCCGCCUAGCCCUCCAUCGUCGCCGCCUAACCCAGGUCCUCAGCGCCGCCGCCGUCUCAGGUCCUCAGCACCACCACUUCUUCCUCCAUCGUCGCCGCCUAACCCAGGUCCUCCAUCGUCACCGCCUAAUCCAGUAACUCGGCAGGUCCUCUUCGGCUCUUCAUCUUCGCUGGCUUCUCGGCACGGACCCAGGUCAAGCAGCUUCUGCUCUAAAUUCAGAUUCAAGUCUUCAAGCUAGACUCUUGUAUAAUAGCAGUCCCGAUCAACUUUUAGACUCAUCUGCUCACAGCACUGCUCAACAGUUAUCAGGAGGAAGGUAUGAGACAGUGUUGAGCAUACUUGAUAACUUAUGGUGGUUGUUUUAUAAGAAAAAUUUCAAUGUGCUGACUGUAAUCAUUUUGUGUCAAUACUAAGAUGCUUAUGGUGUUAAAUGUUUGAUAAUUUUAAUAGUGUCGUUUACUCUCAACAUGAAUAAUUAUGAAUGUAAAUGGGAACUAUGCCAAAAUCAAAUUACAAUAUUUCUCGCUUGGGCCAAUUAAUGAUUACUAUUCUAUAUUGGAAA